UUUUUUUGCCUGGUGUAUGGAAAACACUGCGUUAAAAAUAACCCCCCAGUGCUGCAUAUCGAGGUGACCAUCCAGCUUGGUCCUGCUGUGGGAUCCUCUGUAAACAGAUCUCUGGAUAAAAGGACAAUAGCACAUUGUUAUUUUUGUUGGGUUUUUUCUUUUUUCUUUUUCUUUUUUUCAUCCUGGCUAUACUCCAAAUCACAAAGCUGGAGAAUUUCAGGGCUCGCGCUGCUCCGCUUAUUUUUAACCGAGAACAAUUCCAGCUGCUUUCCAACCCUCUCCCUUAACCAGAGCACAUUUCAGGAGAGCUGCUGGCUUUUAGGUUCUGUUGAGCGCAGGGAAGUGCAGAAAACGGGUCUGAAUGCUCUGCCAGAAAGGACAACACUGCAGCAAGCCAGCUGGGAUAGGCUCACAAUUUAAUUCAGGUCAACCAAAGGGGAAAAAAAAAAGGUUUCCUCCAGCUCUCCCUCCGUUUCAAAAGAAAAACAAAGCACUGUCGGCAUUGAUCCUUCUCCCUUCUCAACUGCUCCAGCCUCAGUUUCCCCAUCUUGCGCAGUGCUGGCUCCUGCUCUCCGCUCCCCAGCAGCUUUCACCUCCGAGGCGGUGAUGGCAGAGGGAAGGCAUGCUAGGAAUCCGGCUCAGCUCUCCCUCAGUCCACUGCCUGCUUUUCACAUUUCUCACGGCUGAUGGGGCCGUUUCCAACCCGUUUCCCUUUACAGUCUUGCUUAUGCUGCACCAAAAUCUUCAGCUUGCAAGUGAAACCUGCAAAAGGCCUUUUUUGCUACGAAGCAAAACCUUGAUCGCCGAUUUAAAAAUAGUACAGUUGUGCCUGUCAGCUCCUUUUAACAGCCCUAGAGUUGCAAGAAAGAUAACCUUUGUGUUUUUUUGUCCUACAUUCUCAGGUUCCUGGGAGCAGGGCAUGGUAUCCGAUGCCUUCUCUGGGAAAGACCAGGGAAAUUUUAUCCCCAGGCCGCACCCAACCCAAAGUGAAGAAAUAUUUGCAUUUGCUUCUCCUUGGAGAGCAGCCAGCCUAUGUGAGAGGGCCCUCCCUGCUCGCCUUGGCCUGCCAAGAGGGAUUGCAAGAAAGGACAGGCUGAUUGCAGCAGCCCAGGGCGUUGCGCAGGCACUGCUCCUUGCCCUUUUGCACCUCCACUGCAAGACGACGCAAGACCUCAGCAGGUUUUGCACCUCCAGUGGGGUGAGGAGCCCAAGGAUGGGCUGAGUUGUCGCAGUUGGUGUCUACAUGCUCAGCAGCAGAAUGGGACCCCCAGGACUUGACGGGGCCAGACGUACAGCACAAUUCCUCGAUAUCCACCCAGAGAGUGCAAGGCUUUGGGAAUGACUUCAGGCACAGGACUUCCAGGCGUGGGACACGUCCCCAGAUGAACCAAAGCCACCUCUAUACAUGAGCGCCCCGGCUCCAGGAAACACCACAGCUUUACACGAGCAUCU